GGGAAGCAACCUGGGAUGCCUUCCAAAGAUCACUGCCUGCAAUUGAAGCCAGCUAAUGACUGGAGGAGAGUUCCCAAUAUCCCCAAAUCCCCUCAUUAACCUUGGCUUGAGGGGGGAAUUGCUGGACUGUAACAAGCAACAAGGACCCCAGCUUAGAAUCUUCUGGUUCCUGCAAAACUUCUGAAUGCAAUCCAAGGUAUUUAAUUCCCUCUGUAGCCUCGUGGUGAAGUGAGAUGUUCUGGAAGCAGUUGGUGAGAGCUUCACCUCCUCUACCAGUAGGAAAACUUUGGAGGCACAGCUGGAGGAUUGGGCAAUACCUACCAGGGAGGUAACAUCUCCAGUGGAAAAGAGGACACGGCUUUAAAACACCUACAGCUGGCUUCCACACCCCCCUGACCUGCAUUUCAGGUCGGCACCACCAAGAUGCCUGUCUGCCUUGGCUGAUGAGGGUAGCUACAUGCAAGGCAAGCUAUCUGAACCCGACAGCAAAGACCACAUUUCCCCUUAAUGCACCAUGCUGUGGGAAGUGUUUACUGUUGCUACUCUUACAGAGCAGAAAA